UUAUUGUCGGCGUUGCAUUGGUGGAGAGGCAGAUAUGGACUUCAUAAUUUGUGCCUCAUGUUUUAAUUCAUUUUGAACAGCUUUUAGUGGGUACAGUUUCCCGUUUUUAGAAAUGGGAGUAUUAAUAAACAUUGAAAAGUUUUUGUCGAAGUCUGACUUCCGCUUUUAUCUAAGAAACAAGCUGCCUUGGCCUUGGAUAGUUUAUUAAGUUUAUUUGAUAUCUCAUUUGUGAUUUAACCUGCGAACUGCCUGUGAACUUGGUGUUCCAAAGGUAACGAAAUGGAUAAAAUGUGGUCUAUUUCUUCUAAAGUAUUGAUCUUAUAAUUAAAGUUUUGUGUUCUCUGUCUGUGUUUUCAUUCAAAAUAUUUAAAAUUUAUUAAAAAGGUUUGCAA